rnacentral:pre_miRNA from 1 species
AAAAAGACAAACCCUGGGUUUCCGUGUCCAACGUUUGACUGUCCGUAUUAUAAGAAUUUUUUUUAUAAUUUCUAUUUUUAUUGUUGUUAGAUGAUAAACAUAAUUAAUACUUUAUACGUGACUUGUCUUUUUAACUUUUUUCAUAAUUUUUUUAAAUAAGACGAACGGUCAAACGUUGGACACGGAAACCCAGGGUUUGUCUUUUU